UAAAGGAUAAUGACUGGCUUCAGAGUUAGUGGGAAGGCUGCUAAUUAGCCAACCAUACUCAGUAGAAAAUGUGGGGAAGAUAAUAUCACACAGAUCACCUCGUGUGAAAACUCAGGAGUGGCAUUGCUGAUAUCGCUGUCGAUGCUGCCCAAGGUAGAAAACAACAACAAACCGAAAACAGCAACGACAAAAACCCCACUCUAACAAGCCCCGACUCUAGAGCCCAAAGCUUCCUGACUUUCUAGUCUUCACCUUUAAGCAAAGCCUUCAUCUUGUCUCUGCGUUGUUCUGUGUGACCAAUAGGUACAAUGAAUAUAAUAAUCUGUUACUUCCAAGAUGAAGAAACAAAAACCACUGACCUCAGACUUGGAUCUCUAUCACGUUGGUGAAUCACUGUCCCUGGGAGGAUUCAGCUGGCUCAUUUGAAGGCACUUGGGCAGCUUUAUAGAGAAGCCCACAGUGAUGAGACACUAAUGCCUCCAAGUGUGUGAGCCUCCUUAAAAGCAGAUUACUUAGCCCCAGCUAAGCCUUCAGGUAAAUGAUUACAGCUCAGACUGAUAAACAUGUUUCUUUUUGUCUGUCUGUCUGUCUGUCUGUCUGUCUGUCUGUCUCUAGGAGUGUUAAAGAUGAACACAGGGUAAAGGUUUGUCAUAGCAAAACUGCCACUACUUGGUCACCUGCAGAUUGUUGUUUCCAGUGUAGCAGAUGAAGCUUGCUAGCCCUCCCAUUGUGGCUACCAACAACAAACAACAGCCGCUUUACCUUUCUUUCCAACCCUUUCUCCAAUCUAAAGUCGUCAGCAUGGAUUACAGUUCAAGGCCAAGUGAAGAAAGAAUCCCUGGCCCAGCAGAGCAUCAAUAAUGGGUGCCAUUGUCCUUCCAAAACCCCUGAAAUCAUGGGUAUUUCCUCAAAAUGUCAGGCUACAAAGGCAAACAAAUUACAUACCUCUAUCCAAUCCAACUGGAUUGACAAUCUUUUUUAGCAUUAUCAAAAUCAGUUUCUACCUUGGGGUCUCUACUGCUUGAUUUUUUUCUUACCCUCCCUCCACCUACAUACACUAUUUUGGGAGCUACCAAUUCUUCCAAUAUAUUCAGUUUUGCUAAUGUCCAGAGACGGUUUCUAUGAUGGGAGCAAAAGACAUCUAGUAAGCUCCAAAUGCCCAAAAGGUUUUCCCCUUAACUUUGUCUGUAGCCAAAUACUCUGCAUUUUGGCAUCAAUACC
rnacentral:lncRNA from 1 species